ACUUUCCUUGUCUUGGGGUGGCUUGAGAUACUCUAUGAACGUCUAGUGAGAGUAACUCUGCUAACACCAUAAUCGACACAUUCGCAUCACCUGAACCUCGUGUUCGGGCAAUGGUGCAAUUUUUGGAACA
ensembl:snRNA U4atac minor spliceosomal RNA